GGCCCCUAUGCUUACAAAAGAGUACNUUUACUCUUCAAAUAUCAUUGUUUCAUUUCACUAAGCAGUUAAUAUUAUUUAUACCUCUAUCGCCCCAAUAAAAUAUAACGUUAAAUUAAAUCUUUAAAAUCCAAUUAAAUUUAACUAGCAUAUAAAGUUUUAUAGGGUCUUAUCGUCCAA
rnacentral:rRNA from 1 species